rnacentral:rRNA from 1 species
CAAUAGCGUAUAUUUAAGUUGUUGCAGUUAAAAAGCUCGUAGUUGGAUUUCGGGUGGGACGCAGCGGUCUCGCAUUGCGUUUGUACUGCUGCAGCCUUCCUUCUUGCCGGGGGCGGCCUCUCGGACUUCACUGUCUGGGGGUCAGAAUCGGCGAUGUUACUUUGAGUAAAUUAGAGUGUUCAAAGCAAGCUUACGCUCUGAAUAUAAUAGCAUGGGAUAACACGACAGGACUCUGGCCUAUCGUGUUGGUCUAUAGGACCAGAGUAAUGAUUAAGAGGGACAGUCGGGGGCAUUCGUAUUCCGUUGUCAGAGGUGAAAUUCUUGGAUUUACGGAAGACGAACAUCUGCGAAAGCAUUUGCCAAGGAUGUUUUCAUUGA